CACUUUGGUUUAUGCCUCUUUCGAGAAAGGAUUCUGGAAAACCUUUAAGAGGGGAAAGAAAAGGAGAAAUUGCCUUGUGCAUAGAGGAUUAUCUUUGAUGGUCUGAAAGAGGAGGUCCAUUUAUGUGUUGUUGGUGGAGGUUGCUGACUUACCAGACUUUGGGCCUGGCUUACCCAGAAGGACUCAUGAGAGGCCAUGUUGAAGUGUCAAGAAAUGAAACAAGAAACAGCACAAACCCUGAGCUACGAUAUGAGUCAGUUGGAAGAACUCAAAGACAAGCCAAAGCUGGAUGUAUUUGAGACAAUAUCCAUUUCUCCCAGUGAUGAUUUCUGCUCUCCAUCCUGUUUGGGGUUUGGUAUAAAUGCAGGUGGAACAUGCUCAUGCAAACAGAAAAAAAUGGCUCACCGGGCACUAUUGUUGAAGGGCACCACUCCAACAGAGAAAAACUUCCUAGAGAAGACGGAGGGCCGGGUUCGACUUUCUCCUUCCGUGUUGUUUUUCAUCUCCUGGAAUUGUUUGUCUUGA
rnacentral:lncRNA from 1 species